AUUGAACGCUGGCGGCAGGCUUAACACAUGCAAGUCGAGCGGAGAGAGGUAGCUUGCUACUGAUCUUAGCGGCGGACGGGUGAGUAAUGCUUAGGAAUCUGCCUAUUAGUGGGGGACAACAUUUCGAAAGGAAUGCUAAUACCGCAUACGUCCUACGGGAGAAAGCAGGGGAUCUUUGGACCUUGCGCUAAUAGAGGAGCCUAAGUCGGAUUAGCUAGUUGGUGGGGUAAAGGCCUACCAAGGCGACGAUCUGUAGCGGGUCUGAGAGGAUGAUCCGCCACACUGGGACUGAGACACGGCCCAGACUCCUACGGGAGGCAGCAGUGGGGAAUAUUGGACAAUGGGCGCAAGCCUGAUCCAGCCAUGCCGCGUGUGUGAAGAAGGCCUUAUGGUUGUAAAGCACUUUAAGCGAGGAGGAGGCUACUUUAGUUAAUACCUAGAGAUAGUGGACGUUACUCGCAGAAUAAGCACCGGCUAACUCUGUGCCAGCCGCCGCAGUAA
rnacentral:rRNA from 1 species